rnacentral:rRNA from 1 species
AAGUCGUACGGAGAGUGGAGCAACUCACUCUCAGUGGCAAACGGGUGAGUAACGCGUGAAUAACCUGCCUUUGAGAAGGGGAUAACUGUCCGAAAGGAUAGCUAAUACCCUAUAUUGCCUUUUGUCACUAAGGCAAAAGGUGAAAGCAAGGCUGUCAAAGGCUUCGGCUCAAAGAGGGGUUCGCGUCCUAUCAGGUAGUUGGUGGGGUAAUGGCCUACCAAGCCAAUGACGGGUAGCUGGUCUUAGAGGAUGAUCAGCCACAGUGGGACUGAGACACGGCCCGCACCCCUACGGGGGGCAGCAGUGGGGAAUCGUGGGCAAUGGGCGCAAGCCUGACCCCGCAAUGCCGCGUGAGGGAAGAAGCCCUUCGGGGUGUAAACCUCUGUCAGAUGGGAAGAU